GCAAGUCGAACGGUAACAGGAAUUAGCUUGCUAAUUUGCUGACGAGUGGCGCACGGGUGCGUAACGCGUAUACAAUCUACCUUUUGCUGAGGGAUAGCCCAGAGAAAUUUGGAUUAAUACCUCAUGGUAUUAUUGAUAGGCAUCUAUUAAUAAUUAAAGGUUACGGCAAAAGAUGAGUAUGCGUCCCAUUAGCUAGUUGGUGAGGUAACGGCUCACCAAGACCACGAUAGAUAGGGGGCCUGAGAGGGUUGUC
rnacentral:rRNA from 1 species